AGAUGUUGAAAGCCGGAGACAUAGGAGAGCUUAAUUCUUUCAGGAUUGAUAACUCAAACCAACUUUGGAGUUAACAACACAGAAGCCUACUUGUGUGAGGAGGUGAUCUUCUCAGCUGCUUCAUAAGAGAGGGAAAGGCGGUUAAAAGCAAGUAAAGGUUAUAAUGUCAUGUAAUCAGGGUUUUUUUUUUUUUUUUUU